AAUUUUUAAAGCACAGAUUGCUUUGAGUUCUAGAAGCAGAAUCCAAGAACUUCCAAGCACAGCCACAGCAAAGACCCCAACACCAGCACAAAUAACAGCUGAGAGUAACGGCAGAGCCUUUCUUCUGCAGGAGGCCUUCCCACAUCCCGUCAGUUUUCUUGUCCUUCCCACUCUUGGUUUUAAAAUGGACCUGGCACUCACACUGUAUACAAAACGUAUAUCAACUGCUUGCACGUGGAACAAAACUGCUGCAUGUGUCAUGAAAUGUUUCCUCUGCUGAUACAGAUCUCUGCUAUUACGCUCUGCUGCUGCACAUCAAGGAACGGAGAGGAACACAAUGUGACAGCUCCAUGAUGGUCCAAGUAUGAAAAACAUGACAUGCUUUGGAAAGUAUUGCUUUAGAGGCCAUGGGAAUGAAGCCUCAGUGUGGGUACAUGCCCAGCUGUGCCUUGCAAUUGAGGACAAAGAAGGAGAUGGAUAGCAGCCCUUGUUGCCUCCCAGACCUGCUCUGCAAAUCCACAUCAUCCACAGUGCUUCCUUUGGACAAGCCUUCCUCCUUUUAUUAGCUCUUUUC
rnacentral:lncRNA from 1 species